GCAAGUCGAACGGGGAAAGGUCUUCGGACCGAGUACUAGUGGCGCACGGGUGAGGAAUACGUAGAUAAUCUGCCCUUAGGCGGGGAAUAACUGGUCGAAAGAUCAGCUAAUACCGCAUAAGACCACGCCUUCUGCGGAAGGAGAGGUUAAAGGCUUCGGCCACCUAGGGAUGAGUCUGCGUCCGAUUAGCUAGUUGGUGGGGUAAGAGCCUACCAAGGCGACGAUCGGUAACUGGUCUGAGAGGAUGACCAGUCACACUGGGACUGAGACACGGCCCAGACUCCUACGGGAGGCAGCAGUAGGGAAUAUUGCACAAUGGAGGAAACUCUGAUGCAGCGACGCCGCGUGAGUGAUGAAGGCCCUCGGGUUGUAAAGCUCUGUUCUUAGGGAAUAAAAAAAUGAAGGUACCUAAGAAGAAAGGACCGGCUAACUUCGUGCCAGCAGCCGCGGUAAGACGAGGGGUCCAAGCGUUGUUCGGAAUCAUUGGGCGUAAAGCGGGUGUAGGCGGCCUUGCAAGUCAGAAGUGAAAGCCCUGGGCUCAACCCAGGAAGGGCUUUUGAAACUGCAAGGCUUGAGUGUGGGAGAGGAUAGUGGAAUUCCAGGUGUAGUGGUGAAAUACGUAGAGAUCUGGAGGAACACCGGUGGCGAAGGCGGCUAUCUGGCCCAACACUGACGCUCAGACCCGAAAGCGUGGGGAUCAAACAGGAUUAGAUACCCUGGUAGUCCACGCCAUAAACGAUGGAUACUUGGUGUUGGUGGUAUUG
rnacentral:rRNA from 1 species